GACGAACGCUGGCGGCGUGCUUAACACAUGCAAGUCGAACGGAAAGGCCCUGCUUUUGUGGGGUGCUCGAGUGGCGAACGGGUGAGUAACACGUGAGUAACCUGCCCUUGACUUUGGGAUAACUUCAGGAAACUGGGGCUAAUACCGGAUAGGAGCUCCUGCUGCAUGGUGGGGGUUGGAAAGUUUCGGCGGUUGGGGAUGGACUCGCGGCUUAUCAGCUUGUUGGUGGGGUAGUGGCUUACCAAGGCUUUGACGGGUAGCCGGCCUGAGAGGGUGACCGGCGACAUUGGGACUGAGAUACGGCCGAGACUCCUACGGGGGGCAGCGGUGGGGAAUAUUGCACAAUGGGCGGAAGCCUGAUGCAGCAACGCCGCGUGCGGGAUGACGGCCUUCGGGUUGUAAACCGCUUUCGCCUGUGACGAAGCGUGAGUGACGGUAAUGGGUAAAGAAGCACCGGCUAACUACGUG
rnacentral:rRNA from 1 species